UACGUAGGUGACAAGCGUUGUCCGGAUUUACUGGGCGUAAAGAGCGCGCAGGCGGUCGAUCAAGUCGAGUGUGAAAGCCCCCCGGCUCAACUGGGGAGGGUCAUUCGAUACUGAUCGACUCGAAGGCAGGAGAGGGUAGUGGAAUUCCCGGUGUAGUGGUGAAAUGCGUAGAUAUCGGGAGGAACACCAGUGGCGAAGGCGGCAUCCUGGACUGGUCCUGACACUCAGGAGCGAAAGCGUGGGGAGCGAUCCGG
rnacentral:rRNA from 1 species